CGUAUCCGGUAAGUCCAAGGGAAGCCUCGGCGUUGGUGCGGAGGCUGUUCAUGCGCAUCUGCGGCUGGUGGAAAGCACGCAUAGGGGCGACAGGCAUAGUGGCCGGGGCGGUGCGGACGGCCAUCAUUCCCGAGGAAAGACUGCUCGAAGCAGUGUUGAAGGCAACGAAGCAGAUCGCAGAUCCAAGGGCCAGGUUGGCAACCA
rnacentral:snRNA from 16 species